UUGACCUCGGAUCAGGUAGGGAUACCCGCUGAACUUAAGCAUAUCAAUAAGCGGAGGAAAAGAAACCAACAGGGAUUGCCCUAGUAACGGCGAGUGAAGCGGCAAGAGCUCAAAUUUGAAAGCUGGCUCCUUCGGGGUCCGCAUUGUAAUUUGCAGAGGAUGCUUCGGGAGCGGUCCCCGUCUAAGUACCCUGGAACGGGUCGUCAUAGAGGGUG
rnacentral:rRNA from 1 species